ACUUCUGGUUUUUUGCUAGUUAAUUGGAGAUAAAAGUCUUCUGGAUUUGUCUGUAUGAGGUAGAUUCUACCCUAGUCAGAUCUCAGCCUUAUGAGUAUCUACAAUUACAGGUGUUAGUCACUGCAGCCCUGACUUUCAAAAAGAUUUUUAUGCUUCAGCAGAGUACUUACAAACAUGUAUUAUCACACCAAGUUAAUUUACUACUUCUUCUGAGUUUCUUCAUAUAAUCUAAAUCUAAUCUUCUAAUAGAAAAUCUUAUCCAAUAAAAUGUAUUAAUGUGUGUGUGUCUGUACUGGGGGGGGGGGGGGGGGCGGGUGUUGAUCCUGGGGCUUGAACUCAGGGCCUG